rnacentral:rRNA from 1 species
CCCUUAGAUGUUCUGGGCUGCACGCGCGCUACACUGAUGCAUCCAACAAGUUUUUUCCUUGUUCGAGAGGACUAGGUAAUCUUUUGAGAAUGCAUCGUGAUGGGGAUAGAUUAUUGCAAUUAUUAAUCUUCAACGAGGAAUUCCUAGUAAGCGCAAGUCAACAGCUUGCGUUGAUUACGUCCCUGCCCUUUGUACACACCGCCCGUCGCUACUACUGAUUGGAUGUUUAAGCGAGGUUCUCGAACUGCUAGCGACUUAGCUUCGGUGAGGUCGCAGUGUGGGGAGUGAACCUAGCUUUGGUGUCUAGAGGAAGUAAAAGUCGUAACA